rnacentral:precursor_RNA from 15 species
GAGCCUCCAACAAGCCCUUGGGUUUCCCCAAACAGUAAGAGUUUAUGUGCGGUGAGAGCUAGAAUCUGCAUGUGGACUCCUACUGCUCCGGGAGGCUGGAAGUACCACAACCCAGGAGC